rnacentral:lncRNA from 1 species
AUCGACGACAUUCGGAUAAGCACCGAUGUCCCACUGGAGAACUGCAUGGAACCCAUCUCGGCUUUUGCAGGGGGCACCCUCCCGCCAGGGACCGAGCCCACAGUGGACACGGUGCCCGUGCAGCCCAUCCCAGCCUACUGGUAUUACGUUAUGGCGGCCGGGGGUGCCGUGCUGGUGCUGGUCUCCGUCAUCCUGGCCCUGGUGCUCCACUACCACCGGUUCCGCUAUGCGGCCAAGAAGACCGAUCACUCCAUCACCUACAAAACCUCCCACUACACCAACGGGACCCCUCUGGCAGUCGAGCCCACCCUAACCAUUAAGCUAGAGCAAGAGCGGGGCUCGCACUGCUGAGGGCCGAAGCAGGAACAGCGCCCCCCAAAAAACCCAAGAAAGACUGCAAACACGUUGCCUCGA